rnacentral:rRNA from 1 species
GAUGAACGCUGGCGGCGUGCCUAAUACAUGCAAGUCGAGCGAACAGAUAAGGAGCUUGCUCCUUUGACGUUAGCGGCGGACGGGUGAGUAACACGUGGAUAACCUACCUAUAAGACUGGGAUAACUUCGGGAAACCGGAGCUAAUACCGGAUAACAUAUUGAACCGCAUGGUUCAAUAGUGAAAGGCGGCUUUGCUGUCACUUAUAGAUGGAUCCGCGUCGUAUUAGCUAGUUGGUAAGGUAACGGCUUACCAAGGCAACGAUACGUAGCCGACCUGAGAGGGUGAUCGGCCACACUGGAACUGAGACACGGUCCAGACUCCUACGGGAGGCAGCAGUAGGGAAUCUUCCGCAAUGGGCGAAAGCCUGACGGAGCAACGCCGCGUGAGUGAUGAAGGUCUUCGGAUCGUAAAACUCUGUUAUCAGGGAAGAACAAAUGUGUAAGUAACUGUGCACAUCUUGACGGUACCUGAUCAGAAAGCCACGGCUAACUACGUGCCAGCAGCCGCGGUAAUACGUAGGUGGCAAGCGUUAUCCGGAAUUAUUGGGCGUAAAGCGCGCGUAGGCGGUUUUUUAAGUCUGAUGUGAAAGCCCACGGCUCAACCGUGGGAGGGUCAUUGGAAACUGGAAAACUUGAGUGCAGAAGAGGAAAAGUGGAAUUCCAUGUGUAGCGGUGAAAUGCGCAGAGAUAUGGAGGAACACCAGUGGCGAAGGCGACUUUCUGGUCUGUAACUGACGCUGAUGUGCGAAAGCGUGGGGAUCAAACAGGAUUAGAUACCCUGGUAGUCCACGCCGUAAACGAUGAGUGCUAAGUGUUAGGGGGUUUCCGCCCCUUAGUGCUGCAGCUAACGCAUUAAGCACUCCGCCUGGGGAGUACGACCGCAAGGUUGAAACUCAAAGGAAUUGACGGGGACCCGCACAAGCGGUGGAGCAUGUGGUUUAAUUCGAAGCAACGCGAAGAACCUUACCAAAUCUUGACAUCCUUUGACCGCUCUAGAGAUAGAGUUUUCCCCUUCGGGGGACAAAGUGACAGGUGGUGCAUGGUUGUCGUCAGCUCGUGUCGUGAGAUGUUGGGUUAAGUCCCGCAACGAGCGCAACCCUUAAGCUUAGUUGCCAUCAUUAAGUUGGGCACUCUAAGUUGACUGCCGGUGACAAACCGGAGGAAGGUGGGGAUGACGUCAAAUCAUCAUGCCCCUUAUGAUUUGGGCUACACACGUGCUACAAUGGACAAUACAAAGGGCAGCUAAACCGCGAGGUCAAGCAAAUCCCAUAAAGUUGUUCUCAGUUCGGAUUGUAGUCUGCAACUCGACUACAUGAAGCUGGAAUCGCUAGUAAUCGUAGAUCAGCAUGCUACGGUGAAUACGUUCCCGGGUCU